rnacentral:rRNA from 1 species
GACGAACGCUGGCGGCGUGCCUAAUACAUGCAAGUAGAACGCUGAAGGAGGAGCUUGCUUCUCUGGAUGAGUUGCGAACGGGUGAGUAACGCGUAGGUAACCUGCCUGGUAGCGGGGGAUAACUAUUGGAAACGAUAGCUAAUACCGCAUAAUAGCAGUUGUUGCAUGACAACUGUUUCAAAGGUGCAAUUGCACCACUACCAGAUGGACCUGCGUUGUAUUAGCUAGUUGGUGGGGUAACGGCUCACCAAGGCGACGAUACAUAGCCGACCUGAGAGGGUGAUCGGCCACACUGGGACUGAGACACGGCCCAGACUCCUACGGGAGGCAGCAGUAGGGAAUCUUCGGCAAUGGACGGAAGUCUGACCGAGCAACGCCGCGUGAGUGAAGAAGGUUUUCGGAUCGUAAAGCUCUGUUGUAAGAGAAGAACGAGUGUGAGAGUGGAAAGUUCACACUGUGACGGUAUCUUACCAGAAAGGGACGGCUAACUACGU